rnacentral:rRNA from 1 species
UAUGGUCAAGUGAAGAAGCGCAUACGGUGGAUGCCUUGGCAGUCAGAGGCGAUGAAAGACGUGGUAGCCUGCGAAAAGCUUCGGGGAGUCGGCAAACAGACUGUGAUCCGGAGAUGUCUGAAUGGGGGAACCCAGCCAUCAUAAGAUGGUUAUCUUGUACUGAAUACAUAGGUGCAAGAGGCGAACCAGGGGAACUGAAACAUCUAAGUACCCUGAGGAAAAGAAAUCAACCGAGAUUCCCUUAGUAGUGGCGAGCGAACGGGGACCAGCCCUUAAGUUGUAUUGAGAUUAGCGGAACGUUCUGGAAAGGACGGCCAUAGUGGGUGAUAGCCCUGUACGCGAAAAUCCCUUUGCAAUGAAAUCGAGUAGGACGGGGCACGAGAAACCUUGUCUGAAUAUGGGGGGACCAUCCUCCAAGGCUAAAUACUACUGACUGACCGAUAGUGAACCAGUACCGUGAGGGAAAGGCGAAAAGAACCGCGGAGAGCGGAGUGAAAUAGAUCCUGAAACCGUAUGCGUACAAGCAGUGGGAGCCCACUUUGUUGGGUGACUGCGUACCUUUUGUAUAAUGGGUCAGCGACUUAUUUUCAGUGGCGAGCUUAACCGAAUAGGGGAGGCGUAGCGAAAGCGAGUCUUAAUAGGGCGUCUAGUCGCUGGGAAUAGACCCGAAACCGGGCGAUCUAUCCAUGGGCAGGUUGAAGGUUGGGUAACACUAACUGGAGGACCGAACCGACUACCGUUGAAAAGUUAGCGGAUGACCUGUGGAUCGGAGUGAAAGGCUAAUCAAGCUCGGAGAUAGCUGGUUCUCCUCGAAAGCUAUUUAGGUAGCGCCUCAUGUAUCACUGUAGGGGGUAGAGCACUGUUUCGGCUAGGGGGUCAUCCCGACUUACCAAACCGAUGCAAACUCCGAAUACCUACAAGUGCCGAGCAUGGGAGACACACGGCGGGUGCUAACGUCCGUCGUGAAAAGGGAAACAACCCAGACCGUCAGCUAAGGUCCCAAAGUCAUGGUUAAGUGGGAAACGAUGUGGGAAGGCUUAGACAGCUAGGAGGUUGGCUUAGAAGCAGCCACCCUUUAAAGAAAGCGUAAUAGCUCACUAGUCGAGUCGGCCUGCGCGGAAGAUGUAACGGGGCUCAAACCAUGCACCGAAGCUACGGGUAUCAUCUUAUGAUGAUGCGGUAGAGGAGCGUUCUGUAAGCCUGUGAAGGUGAGUUGAGAAGCUUGCUGGAGGUAUCAGAAGUGCGAAUGCUGACAUGAGUAACGACAAUGGGUGUGAAAAACACCCACGCCGAAAGACCAAGGUUUCCUGCGCAACGUUAAUCGACGCAGGGUUAGUCGGUCCCUAAGGCGAGGCUGAAAAGCGUAGUCGAUGGAAAACAGGUUAAUAUUCCUGUACUUCUGGUUAUUGCGAUGGAGGGACGGAGAAGGCUAGGCCAGCCUGGCGUUGGUUGUCCAGGUUUAAGGUGGUAGGCUGAGAUCUUAGGUAAAUCCGGGAUCUUAAGGCCGAGAGCUGAUGACGAGUGUUCUUUUAGAACACGAAGUGGUUGAUGCCAUGCUUCCAAGAAAAGCUUCUAAGCUUCAGGUAACCAGGAACCGUACCCCAAACCGACACAGGUGGUUGGGUAGAGAAUACCAAGGCGCUUGAGAGAACUCGGGUGAAGGAACUAGGCAAAAUGGCACCGUAACUUCGGGAGAAGGUGCGCCGGUGGAGGUGAAGCAUUUACUGCGUAAGCCCCUGCCGGUCGAAGAUACCAGGCCGCUGCGACUGUUUAUUAAAAACACAGCACUCUGCAAACACGAAAGUGGACGUAUAGGGUGUGACGCCUGCCCGGUGCCGGAAGGUUAAUUGAUGGGGUUAGCGCAAGCGAAGCUCUUGAUCGAAGCCCCGGUAAACGGCGGCCGUAACUAUAACGGUCCUAAGGUAGCGAAAUUCCUUGUCGGGUAAGUUCCGACCUGCACGAAUGGCGUAACGAUGGCGGCGCUGUCUCCACCCGAGACUCAGUGAAAUUGAAAUCGCUGUGAAGAUGCAGUGUAUCCGCGGCUAGACGGAAAGACCCCGUGAACCUUUACUAUAGCUUUGCACUGGACUUUGAAUUUGCUUGUGUAGGAUAGGUGGGAGGCUUUGAAGCGUGGACGCCAGUCUGCGUGGAGCCAACCUUGAAAUACCACCCUGGCAACUUUGAGGUUCUAACUCAGGUCCGUUAUCCGGAUCGAGGACAGUGUAUGGUGGGUAGUUUGACUGGGGCGGUCUCCUCCUAAAGAGUAACGGAGGAGUACGAAGGUGCGCUCAGACCGGUCGGAAAUCGGUCGUAGAGUAUAAAGGCAAAAGCGCGCUUGACUGCGAGACAGACACGUCGAGCAGGUACGAAAGUAGGUCUUAGUGAUCCGGUGGUUCUGUAUGGAAGGGCCAUCGCUCAACGGAUAAAAGGUACUCCGGGGAUAACAGGCUGAUACCGCCCAAGAGUUCAUAUCGACGGCGGUGUUUGGCACCUCGAUGUCGGCUCAUCACAUCCUGGGGCUGAAGCCGGUCCCAAGGGUAUGGCUGUUCGCCAUUUAAAGUGGUACGCGAGCUGGGUUUAGAACGUCGUGAGACAGUUCGGUCCCUAUCUGCCGUGGACGUUUGAGAUUUGAGAGGGGCUGCUCCUAGUACGAGAGGACCGGAGUGGACGAACCUCUGGUGUUCCGGUUGUCACGCCAGUGGCAUUGCCGGGUAGCUAUGUUCGGAAAAGAUAACCGCUGAAAGCAUCUAAGCGGGAAACUUGCCUCAAGAUGAGAUCUCACUGGAACCUUGAGUUCCCUGAAGGGCCGUCGAAGACUACGACGUUGAUAGGUUGGGUGUGUAAGCGCUGUGAGGCGUUGAGCUAACCAAUACUAAUUGCCCGUGAGGCUUGACCAUA